UGGCACGAGAAUCCAGACUUAUUUAUCACUAUUACAACAAAUCCUAAAUGGGAAGAGCUAUCUGACCACCUCAAACUGUAUGGAACCGACGAUCCCAACGACCGGCCCGACCUCGAGUCUAGAGUGUUCAAGAUGAAGCUCGAUGAGUUGAUGUCAGAUUUCAACAAAGGCAUAUUUUUUCCCAGACCCAAAGCAGGUACCAUUCCUGCAAAUAAUAUUGUUAUUAAUCAACAUUAAGGUUUUCUAUACAAACACACCGUUUCUAACCAACUACUCUUUGCCAAACAGUUGUCUACACCAUAGAGUUCCAGAAGAGAGGCUUACCACACGCCCACAUACUUCUAUGGCUCGAAGGGGACUUCAGAAAUCCCACUGCAGCUGAUAUUGACA
rnacentral:lncRNA from 1 species